UUCUUUUUCUGUCGUGUAAUCGACUAUUGUUUUCAGUGUCGACUAGUAGGAGCUGUACCGUUUAGUCUACUAGUCGACUAGACCCACACAUCCCUAAUUUAUUUCCAUACUAUGG